UUUAAAUAUAGUUAUGGGUCUUCGUGUUCAACAUUUAACCGUCUAUCUUAUUUAAAAUCUUUUAUAAUUAAUAUUUUUUUAUUAUAAGAUGAUAAAACAUAAAUUAGCAUGACUUGUAUUUUUAUUUUUUUCAUAAAUUAUUAAAUAAGACGGGUUAAACAUUGGAUACAAAGCCCACAACUACACCACCA
rnacentral:pre_miRNA from 1 species